UUGUUAUGUCCCUUAACACAGAAAAGAAUCGAUUAAGACAUGGAGGUAUUGUUUUGGUAAGUAUUCAGUGGCAGAACUUAUGCUUGUUAUGUCCCUUAACAUAUACCAUUAUUAUGUAACUACAUCCUAUGUGUGUAAUACUUAGUUUACCUUUUUAUUACUCAAAAUGAAUCCAGACAUGUUGCUUGCAAGUUCACUUUAAAGCCAACGUGCAUUAUAUUUUAUGCCCUUACACCCGCACACACAAUCAUGCCAUACCCACACCCAUACACACUCACGAUACAUACACCACACAUACACCCCACACCCCAACAUCCACACACACUCACAGUCACACCCACCACGCACACACACCCAAAAACCUACAACCACCACACUCACUCACCCCCCCCCCCCCCCCCCCCCUCCCCUUUUUUUUUUUUUUUUUUGUUUUUUUAUUCGUUUUGCUUCAUAAGUCAUAACUCUAUUCAUUUUCCCCUCAGAUUUGUUUUUUAUGGAGCUAAAGCUUUCAUUUUUUUUAUUGUUGUACAAUUUUUUCACAAUAUAUAAUAUUUGUUGUAACACUAUAAUCAAGUUUUUUUUUAUACAUUUCUUGUUGUUUUGUAUCAUCAUAUGUUUGAUGUAUUGUUUCCAGCUUCUUAC
rnacentral:lncRNA from 1 species